AGGAGAAACAGCCCCAGUGGCGGGGCAGCUCUGGAAACCUGGAUUCAGCUCCGGCAGGAACUCCGUCUGCAGGGCCUGGAGACUCCGUGGCGGG
rnacentral:pre_miRNA from 1 species